AUCGAUGAGGAGAUACUUGAUCAUGAUUUUGAAGUUUCAAAGUAAUAUGGUUUCUUGAAUUGGGAUAGACAAAGCAAACCUAAGCUAUAAUUCUGGAUACUCCAAGUCAGCAGGACAAGGGAGUCCUGACAUAUGUGCAAAGAUAAUUGAAGAUACUGAAGACUUUUGCCAAUGGCUACAAACUUCUGAACCUGUCUACAGACUUUAAACAUCCAACACAAGUCAUGGAUGGGGCAUCCUUAACCCGUCAAGCCAUUCAUUAACAACACACCUCAGCACUGGAGAAGUACCGUGAAAACAUUAAUUGCAACUGAAAUCUAUGUUUGACCCAGUAUCCAAGGCAUCAGGACCACAUGUGGAGAGAUAAGUAAAACCAUAUAGAUCUUUUGAUAAGAUCAUUUGAGGGUGAAGAAGGCAGUAUCUUGGGAUACUGAUGUAAGUGUGCAAAAGUGA